rnacentral:rRNA from 1 species
UGCCAGCAGCCGCGGUAAUACGGAGGGUGCGAGCGUUGUCCGGAUUUAUUGGGUUUAAAGGGUGCGUAGGCGGCCUAUUAAGUCAGUGGUGAAAGGUAUCAGCUUAACUGAUGACGUGCCAUUGAAACUGAUAGGCUUGAGUACAGACGAGGUAGGCGGAAUUUAUGGUGUAGCGGUGAAAUGCAUAGAUAUGUGGAGGAACGCCGAUAACGAAGGUAGCUUACUGGGCUGUUACUGACGCUGAGGUACGAAAGCGUGGGGAGCAAACGGGAUUAGAUA